UAACGUCCGGCGUCAAGAGGGAAACAACCCAGACCGCCAGCUAAGGUCCCAAAGAUUGGCUAAGUGGAAAACGAAGUGGGAAGGCUAAAACAGUCAGGAUGUUGGCUUAGAAGCAGCCACCAUUUAAAGAAAGCGUAAUAGCUCACUGAUCGAGUCGUCCUGCGCGGAAGAUGUAACGGGGCUAAGCCAGUCACCGAAGCUGCGGAUAUGUCUUUGACAUAUGGUAGGAGAGCGUUCUGUAAGCCUGCGAAGGUGUCUUGUAAAGGAUGCUGGAGGUAUCAGAAGUGCGAAUGCUGACAUGAGUAGCGAUAAUGCGGGUGAAAAGCCCGCACGCCGUAAGCCCAAGGUUUCCUGUUCAACGUUCAUCGGAGCAGGGUGAGUCGGCCCCUAAGGCGAGGCAGAGAUGCGUAGCUGAUGGGAAGCAGGUUAAUAUUCCUGCACCGUCGUAUGAUGCGAUGGGGGGACGGAUCGCGGAAGGUUGUCCGGGUGUUUGAUGUCCCGGUUUUUGACUCAUAGAAGGCGCUUAGGCAAAUCCGGGCGCGGAAUUCAAGGGGUUGAGACGAGAGACUUAUGUCUCGAAGCAAUCGGAAGUGGUUCCAAGAAAAGCCUCUAAGCUUCAGUCAUACGAGACCGUACCGCAAACCGACACAGGUGGGCGAGAUGAGUAUUCUAAGGCGCUUGAGAGAACUCGGGAGAAGGAACUCGGCAAAUUGGUACCGUAACUUCGGGAAAAGGUACGCCUCGGUAGCUUGACCACUUUACUGUGGAAGGGCGAAAAGGUUGCAAUAAACUGGUGGCUGCGACUGUUUAAUAAAAACACAGCACUCUGCAAACACGAAAGUGGACGUAUAGGGUGUGACGCCUGCCCGGUGCUGGAAGAUUAAAUGAUGGGGUGCAAGCUCUUGAUUGAAGUCCCAGUAAACGGCGGCCGUAACUAUAACGGUCCUAAGGUAGCGAAAUUCCUUGUCGGGUAAGUUCCGACCUGCACGAAUGGCGUAACGAUGGCCACACUGUCUCCUCCUGAGACUCAGCGAAGUUGAAAUGUUUGUGAUGAUGCAAUCUCCCCGCGGAAAGACGGAAAGACCCCAUGAACCUUUACUGUAGCUUUGUAUUGGACUUUGAACAGAUCUGUGUAGGAUAGGUGGGAGGCUUUGAAGUGAGGACGCUAGUUCUCAUGGAGCCGACGUUGAAAUACCACCCUGGUGCGUUUGAGGUUCUAACCCAGGUCCCUUAUCGGGAUCGGGGACAGUGCAUGGUAGGCAGUUUGACUGGGGCGGUCUCCUCCCAAAGCGUAACGGAGGAGUUCGAAGGUACGCUAGUUACGGUCGGACAUCGUGACGAUAGUGCAAUGGCAUAAGCGUGCUUAACUGCGAGACUGACAAGUCGAGCAGAUGCGAAAGCAGGACAUAGUGAUCCGGUGGUUCUGUAUGGAAGGGCCAUCGCUCAACGGAUAAAAGGUACUCUGGGGAUAACAGGCUGAUACCGCCCAAGAGUUCAUAUCGACGGCGGUGUUUGGCACCUCGAUG
rnacentral:rRNA from 1 species